UACGUAGGGUCCAAGCGUUAUCCGGAAUCACUGGGCGUAAAGCGUGCGUAGGUGGCGCGUUAAGUGCAAUGCGAAAUCCCGUGGCUCAACCAUGUGGACUGUAUUGCAUACUGGCGUGCUUGAGGAUAUGAGAGGCAAGUGGAAUUACUGGUGUAGCAGUGAAAUGCGUAGAUAUCAGUAGGAACACCAAUGGCGAAGGCAGCUUGCUGGCAUAUUUCUGACGCUAAGGCACGAAAGCGUGGGGAGCGAACAGG
rnacentral:rRNA from 1 species